ensembl:rRNA 5S_rRNA 5S ribosomal RNA
GCCAGCAGCCAGAUCACCCUGCAACUCACAACUGGCAACCCACUGAAGCUAAGCAGGUGUGAGCCUGGUCAGUACCUGGAUGUGAGACCUCCUGGGAAAAACUAGGGUUGCUGCUGGAA